rnacentral:sRNA from 2 species
AGAAGACCUCCCGUAAAUCAAGCCUGAAGGGCAUGCGCAGGUUGUAAAAAAGCGGAAUGACGUGUAAACACAUCAUCCCGC